UUUGUAUGUGUGUCUUGUGUCUGUCUGUAUGUAUGUAUGUGUCUAUGUAUGUCUUAUGUGUGUGUCUUUGUAUGUGUGUGUGUGCAUGUCUGUGUGUGUGUGUGUGUCUGUAUGCAUGUGUGCCUGUCUGUUUGUAUGUAUGUGUCUUGUGCGUGUGUGUGUGUCUGUAUGUUUGUAUGUAUGUGUCUUGUGUGUGUGUGACUGUAUGUGUGCCUGACUGUGUGUCUGUAUGUAUGUGUGCCUGUCUG